CAGUCGCCGCGGGAAUACGUAGGGUGCAAGCGUUAAUCGGAAUUACUGGGCGUAAAGCGUGCGCAGGCGGUUGUGUAAGACAGGUGUGAAAUCCCCGGGCUUAACCUGGGAACUGCGCUUGUGACUGCACAGCUAGAGUAUGGCAGAGGGGGGUGGAAUUCCACGUGUAGCAGUGAAAUGCGUAGAGAUGUGGAGGAACACCGAUGGCGAAGGCAGCCCCCUGGGCCAAUACUGACGCUCAUGCACGAAAGCGUGGGGAGCAAACAGGAUUAGAUACCCCGGUAGUCCCUGUCUCUUAUAC
rnacentral:rRNA from 1 species